AAAACGGCUCUUUUCAGAGCCACACACAGACCCAGAGAGCACAGA
rnacentral:ncRNA from 1 species